rnacentral:misc_RNA from 1 species
CAAGAAUGUGUGUGUUGGCAGGCUCCGUGCUGGUGCAUCGAACUGCUUUCCUCACUUUUGAUCAAUUGUUGCUUCCAUGAAUGAACGUUGGAUGCAAAAUGCGGGUUCCUGUGUUGCAUACCUAUUGCGAUGGAAAGUUGUACCUUUCGUUGUUUCUUCCAUCACAACAUCCUUCUGGAUGCUUGGUUGGACUAGAUAGCAGGGCUUGCGUUCCACGAACAUCUCAUGUGAUGAUUGUUUGGAUGGACCGCGAGUGCUUUGCUUGUUUUCUCGGAUGCGGAACUUUUUUCAUGGGUAAGGGGUCAUUGGCCCUUGUUCCCAAAUCUAUAAGCGUUUAUCGCUUUACUGGAAUGACGCUCUUGCCUCGUCUUUGACCACGUGGAGCUUUCGGGCUUCAUGAUGGAUCAUGCUUGGCGGACGUCGUGAAGGAAUGC